UACGAAGGGGGCUAGCGUUGUUCGGAAUCACUGGGCGUAAAGGGCGCGUAGGCGGCCGAUCAAGUCGGGGGUGAAAGCCUGUGGCUCAACCACAGAAUUGCCUUCGAUACUGUUUGGCUUGAGACCGGAAGAGGUUAGUGGAACUGCGAGUGUAGAGGUGAAAUUCGUAGAUAUUCGCAAGAACACCAGUGGCGAAGGCGGCUGACUGGUCCGGUUCUGACUCUGAGGCGCGAAAUCGUGGGGAGCAAACAGG
rnacentral:rRNA from 1 species